ensembl:misc_RNA
UCUUCAGACCUUGCCUCCCCCCUCCUUUCUCACUGUGGGAGAAACAGGAAGUGUUGUUUGUUAAUAAGCCUGCCUGGGGUCACACCCAAGGUAAUAUCAGAGGUUUACCUCUACUGGGCUUGGCAAGAGGUUCAAGGAUCAAGGACAAGCC